CGCGCAUGCUGACUGUUAGAAGGGAGAGGGAAAUUGAAGAGGGCAUCAACAAAAGACUCUCGAGGAAGCUUGAUAAGAGAUGGAAGAGGAGUAUCGUGGUGAGGCCACCUCCGUCUUUGAGGAAGAAACAAGAAGAGGAGAAAGCAGCAGAGGCCGCCAAAUCAAAUUCUGCAUAAUUGGAACUUAUUUGUGUCUGUCUUAUAUUGUUCUGUGGUAACAGGCUAUUCUAGGUGAAUUUUUCCACCCUCCCAGCCGGUAUGUUUUCAUGCCCUUUAACUGUCAUGUUUCUUUUCAUAAUUGUUUUCUG
rnacentral:misc_RNA from 1 species